UCCCCCUUGUGCCGCGCGCUGAUAUGCCGAUGGUGCUGAUCUGUUGCCUCGUCAAAAACCUCGUCAAGUCACAAAAACCCUGUGGGAGAAAAACUGAACCUUGCUCGUAGGAGAAAAAGAGUACAACGCACCCUUCACAUUUGAUAGUGACAAGUAUGUAUGUAUGUGCUAGACUCCCCCUGAAGUUCGCACCUCCCCCUGAUCUUUACAUCAAUCAUAGGGCUCUUCCUGAUUCUCACUAAUCACGGAAGUUUCAACAACUUAGCAUGUCAAUGCUUUUUAACAUGUCUUCAAAUGUGGCAUUAGACAAUGAUUAACUAAAUCAUGCCGUAUUGUCCUCAAAUGAUCUUUUACACUUAGAUCUUGAGGAGAAGGUCGCUUGUGAACUCAAAACAUAAGUUCGUGCAAGAAAUCAGAUUUCCGCGCAGCAUGACCUUCAAUUACUAGAACAGUCGUAACUUCCUCUAGGAAAUACAUAUGAACGAACCGUAAACGGUUUUGGAAACUAGACUCAUUUAGCUUUCCAACCGUAUAUUACACACAUUCUAGUUCAUCAGGAGCAGUUCACAAAAUCCCGUUGAAGUUGACUGUUUUGCCAAAAUCAGAUUCUCGGACAGAUUCGUCCUACUUUACGAAAACGGCCAUAACUCACUCAAUAUGAUAGGUAUGAUCAAAUGGUUGGUGUCUCUGAAAAGUAGACACAUAGACCUUUCCAAUGGUACCAAUUUCACCAUUUUCCAAUGAGUGAGAUUUCCUAUAGGUCCCGUGGAAGUUGACCUACAAAACUUGGCAGAUUCUGAUUUCGCUUUUGAUGUGUCUUUCUUAUGUAGGGAUAGAAUAAGCCUCAACCUUUCAUACAAUUAAGUAUUGAAAAAGGAGUUACUACCAUUACAUUGGCGUUGCGUAGGCGCAUAGUUACACUUAGCUUUAUAACUUUUCAUAGCGAAUGAGAUGUCAAGUCUUUCGUAUUGUGUUGAGUACAUUGAUGCGUCUUAUUGUACUUAGAUGGGAACUCCAUCUCUUAACACAUAUUUGUCAUCUUGCUUUAGACAAAACAACGGAUCUCUCUUUAGAGCAAAGACCUUGACUAAUCAUGGGAGUAUAUGUAGACCUCACUAGUUAUAGAGCGCCUAAGCCGAUUGAUGGAAAAUCAUCAUCAAUACAGUCAUCGAGUGCCUUAUCGAGACCAUGUCUUCCCAAGAUCUUUUUCUUCGGAUGUUGAUACAUAUUGGCAUCUCUUGAUCCAUCAAGAGUCCAUGUAAAUCCGGAAUGAACACGCAAAGGCAUAAUUCACCAUAUCCCUUCCAAAUCAAGUAGAGUCUAUGUGCGUUUCAAUACAUUUAGCAAACGCAUGCUCUUGUGGUUUGGAGCCACUUGAUUCGGAUGAAUGAAGUCCGUUUAAGAUCUUCAUGUAUAUCUCUGAUCCCAUAGAGAUGUUAUUAUGGCCACAUUCAUAGGCUGCAUGUUCAAUUAUUCGGAAACUACCAAACUGACAAAGUAGUGGAGUUCAAUGACAUCCAUUACGAGAGCAUAUCUCAUCGUAGUUGAUCCCAGUGCGUGUUAGUGAGAGACCUUGCACCAUAAGGUGAGUCUAAGCUCUUGCUCUCACUACGCUAUCUAACAAAGGCAUAGUUGAUAGGGUUUAGCUUGCAGUGUCGGCAUCACCUGCCCAAGGACCUAUCUCUUUGUUAAUGCUGAAUCGCAUCUUUCCAUUAGGCCAAUCAACUAAGUUGAUAUCCAUCAACGAAGGGUGGUUCGAUAGUAGACUUAUUAUCUCACGUCCUCAUGUACACUAGUGUAAUACUUGUAGAGAUCUCUAUAUGGAUUGGAUUUGAUAUUGAGGCGUCCCCCAACGAUAAUCAUAAUUCAGACUUCAUGAGACGGAUUUGAGUAUCACAGAUCAAUGGAUCAGGUUGUGCCAAGCUCGCUUUCUUUCUAGUGCAAGACAAUAUUGAACCUAAGGGCCUCCCUCCUUUUAGGGAGCCACACGGCCUUGUGACACCAAUUUUGCCACUAUAUGGCGUCACCAUAUCACCAUCCAUGGUGAUGGCGUCAAGACCAACACUUUUUGGUCGCGCCAUAUCCUUUUGUAGGACAUCAAUCCUUGCAGACAUAUUUGCAGCAUGUGAUCUCGUCACUUUAACACUAUAAGCAUUUGGGAUCAAGAUGAGACUUAGUGGGGACAAACCACGACAAUUCACGUCGUUCCACUUGAACACUUGUGUUCUUAUCUCCCCCUAACGACGGGAGUAUUGUCUCAUCAAAGU
rnacentral:lncRNA from 1 species